rnacentral:lncRNA from 1 species
AGGCGAUGGGACGCAGAAGGUUCCGCCCGGGGGCCCCGCGGGUUGGCUAGUUGGGGCUCCGUCCGCAGAACAGGAGCUAGUCUGGAGGCUCAGUGGCCCUGAGGUGCUUGUGCGGAGCCUGGCAGGGAGGAAGAUCCGGGUGCGGCGGCGCGUCAGGAAGGCCCUUAGUUUAUAACGCGCGUGGCUUUCGGGGGGCUUUCCAGAGAGCCUCGCAGUCUGUACACCCCGGCUCCCAACUCCGAGGAAAGUGCUGGUGCCUUGAAAGCUGAGGUCUCCUCCUGCCCGAGUUGCGGAUCAAGCCUAAGUUGAUGCUGUUUACUCUAGCAGAUGGAGUUGCUGAAAAGCAUGUUCUUUCAUUGUUCCAGUCUGGUUACUCAGAAAAAUGUGUNCCAAAGCACCUUGAGUCCCACAAAUACUGCAUUGGCCAGGAAGGCCAAAAUCCUUUGUUAAUGGCUAUCAAAUCUCCCAAACUGCCAGGAGCUUGCUUUGGAGUCCUGUAUAUUCAGGACAAAAUUAGGAUUCAUACGGGCUA